AUUGAACGCUGGCGGCAGGCCUAACACAUGCAAGUCGAGCGGAUGAAGGGAGCUUGCUCCUGGAUUCAGCGGCGGACGGGUGAGUAAUGCCUAGGAAUCUGCCUGGUAGUGGGGGAUAACGUCCGGAAACGGGCGCUAAUACCGCAUACGUCCUGAAGGAGAAAGUGGGGGAUCUUCGGACCUCACGCUAUCAGAUGAGCCUAGGUCGGAUUAGCUAGUUGGUGGGGUAAAGGCCUACCAAGGCGACGAUCCGUAACUGGUCUGAGAGGAUGAUCAGUCACACUGGAACUGAGACACGGUCCAGACUCCUACGGGAGGCAGCAGUGGGGAAUAUUGGACAAUGGGCGAAAGCCUGAUCCAGCCAUGCCGCGUGUGUGAAGAAGGUCUUCGGAUUGUAAAGCACUUUAAGUGGGGAGGAAGGGCAGUAAGUUAAUACCUUGCUGUUUUGACGUUACCAACAGAAUAAGCACCGGCUAACUUCGUG
rnacentral:rRNA from 1 species